GACGAACGCUGGCGGCGUGCUUAACACAUGCAAGUCGAACGGAAAGGCCCUGCUUUUGUGGGGUGCUCGAGUGGCGAACGGGUGAGUAACACGUGAGUAACCUGCCCUUGACUUUGGGAUAACUUCAGGCAACUGGGGCUACUACCGGAUAGGAGCUCCUGCUGCAUGGUGGGGGUUGGAAAGUUUCGGCGGUUGGGGCUGGACUCUCGGCUUAUCAGCUUGUUGGUGGGGUAGUGGCUUACCAAGGCUUUGACGGGUAGCCGGCCUGAGAGGGUGACCGGCCACAUUGGGACUGCGAUACGGCCCAGACUCCUACGGGAGGCAGCAGUGGGGAAUAUUGCACAAUGGGCGGAAGCCUGAUGCAGCAACGCCGCGUGCGGGAUGACGGCCUUCGGGUUGUAAACCGCUUUCGCCUGUGACGAAGCGUGAGUGACGGUAAUGGGUAAAGAAGCACCGGCUAACUACGUG
rnacentral:rRNA from 1 species